CCUACUGGUGACAUCAUUGAGGAAUCUUGGUCAAUGGACGAGAGUCUGAACCAUCAAAUGAGCUUUCCGUCUUCCUUCCCUCUUUUUUUUCCCCUUCUUUUCUCCCUUCCUAAAACGAGGCACGUGUGCCUUUUUGCAUGUACUUUAUGAAUAAGGAUCGGCUAACUCCGUGCCAGCAGCCGCGGUAAUACGGAGGAUCCGAGCGUUAUCCGGAUUUAUUGGGUUUAAAGGGAGCGUAGAUGGGUUGUUAAGUCAGUUGUGAAAGUUUGCGGCUCAACCGUAAAAUUGCAGUUGAUACUGGCAGUCUUGAGUACAGUUGAGGUAGGCGGAAUUCGUGGUGUAGCGGUGAAAUGCUUAGAUAUCACGAAGAACCCCGAUUGCGAAGGCAGCUUACUAAACUGUGACUGACAUUGAUGCUCGAAAGUGUGGGUAUCAAACAGGAUUAGAUACCCCAGUAGUC
rnacentral:rRNA from 1 species